rnacentral:rRNA from 1 species
GACGAACGCUGGCGGCGUGCCUAAUACAUGCAAGUCGAACGCAGUGGGGACGGGUGAGUAACACGUGGCUAACCUCCCAUCAGAGGGGAUAACACUUGGAUACUGGUGCUAAUCCCAUACUGAUGGAUGGACCCGCGGGGCAUUAGCUAGUCGGUGAGGUAACGGCUCACCAAGGCCACGAGGCAUAGCCGACCUGAGAGGAUGAUCGGCCACACUGGGACUGAGACACGGCCCAGACUCCUACGGGAGGCAGCAGUAGGGAAUCUUCGGCAAUGGACGAAAGUCUGACCGAGCAACGCCGCGUGAGUGAAGAAGGUUUUCGGAUCGUAAAACUCUGUUGUUAGGGAGGCGGUAUCUAACCAGAAAGCCACGGCUAACUACGUGCCGGCAGCCGCGGUAAUUC